rnacentral:rRNA from 1 species
GCGCGAGAGGAGCGGCCGAUGGCGGAUUAGCUAGUUGGUGGGGUAAAGGCCCACCAAGGCGACGAUCCGUAGCGGGUCUGAGAGGACGGCCCGCCACACUGGGACUGAGACACGGCCCAGACUCCUACGGGAGGCAGCAGUGGGGAAUUUUGGACAAUGGGGGCAACCCUGAUCCAGCCAUUCCGCGUGAGUGAAGAAGGCCUUCGGGUUGUAAAGCUCUUUCGGCAGGAACGAAACGGCGGGCUCUAACAUAGCCUGUCAAUGACGGUACCUGAAGAAGAAGCACCGGCUAACUACGUG